UGGAAUGUCGUCCAAUGGUAGGACAAUGGACUCUGGAUCCAUUAAUCGGGGUUCGAAUCCCUGCAUUCCAG
rnacentral:tRNA from 2 species